AUAGCGUAUAUUAAAGUUGUUGCAGUUAAAAAGCUCGUAGUUGAACUUCAGACCUGGUUGGGCGGUCCGCUUAACGGCGUGUAAUGUUCGACUGGGCCUUACCUCUUGGUGAGCCGGUGUGCCCUUUAUUGGUGUGCGUCGGGGAACCAGGACUUUUACCUUGAGAAAAUUAGAGUGUUCAAAGCAGGCCUGUGCCCGAAUACAUUAGCAUGGAAUAAUAAAAUAGGACGUGCGGUUCUAUUUUGUUGGUUUCUAGAGUCGCCGUAAUGAUUAAUAGGGAUAGUUGGGGGCAUUGGUAUUGAGUCGCUAGAGGUGAAAUUCUUGGAUUGACUCAAGACCGACUAUUG
rnacentral:rRNA from 1 species